ensembl:lncRNA SEPTIN7P11 septin 7 pseudogene 11
GAGGGGCUGCUGGGGCUUCCAGGAGGGCGCAUGUGCGGAUGACUGGCCGCAGGCGGCCGGGCGGGCUGUAACCCGCCGCUGAACUAGCGCUUCUGUGUCCAGAGGCUUCGGCCUGGCCGCCGUCGCCUGUAAGCUACGAGGAGGAGAUUUACGACUUGGCCGGGCGCAGCAAAGGCCAGACUCUGCGCGAACAGGCGCUGCGCACCAACCGGCAGGCACCUGGCGGGCACCAUCGCACGGUGGCGCAGAAGCCCCUCAAUGGCCAGCGCCAGCUGCAGCCGCGGCCGCGCAGUCGUCCCACCUGAGCUUGGGCGAAUGUGGAUUGGGAAAGUCGACAUUAAUCAACUCAUUAUUCCUCAUAGAUUUGUAUUCUCCAGAGUAUCCAGGUCCUUCUCACAGAAUUAAAAAGACUGUACAGCUGGCAGCCUGUUAUCGAUUACAUUGAUAGUAAAUUUGAGGACUACCUAAAUGCAGAAUCAUGCGUGAACAGACAUCAGAUGCCUGAUAACAGGGUGCAGUGUUGUUCAUACUUCAUUGCUCCUUCAGGACAUGGACUUAAACCAUUGGAUAUUGAGUUUAUGAAGCGUUUGCAUGAAAAAGUGAGUAUCACCCCACUUAUUGCCAAAGCAGACACACUCACACCAGAGGAAUGCCAACAGUUUAAAAAACAGUCCCUCCAAUAUUGCCUGGGAACUUCUGGUAACAGCAAACGGAGGCCCCAUAUGAAAAAAAACAGGAAAAGGUUUUGUCACAAUGGAAAAUACAUGCAGAGUAAAAGGGUAAGAUAUUUCUGAAGGAAAUCAGAAAAGCCCCAAAUCGAGACUUGAUUCUUAUUACUCAUAAGAGAAGACUGAAGCUUUAACAAUUAAUCUGCUUAGAACUGCAAUGUAAACUGCACGCAGCUAUUACCUGAUUUUUAUUUCCACUACUUUUCUUCCAUCACAAGCCCUAUGCAGAAAAAAAAGUGCUCUAUUUCAUGCCAAGGUUACUCAACACCCAGAAGGCAGAACAGCGACCUCUCUCUCUCCAUCUGCAGAAGCCAAGCAAGCGUGUGGGCCUCCGUAUGCAUCCUUUCUUUUAUUCACUUUCUAAAUGCUGUAACGGCUACCAUCUACCAGGUGGUCACAAACCAUCUCUAAAGUCAAUCUGAGGUUAACCCACUCGACUUGUGAGGGAUCCACCUAUACUGCUUCUGCACCUGUAAUAUGACUAAGGAGACGGUGGCUGCACACGUAGUUAACACCGAUUGUACUGUGACUCCGCCUUUCCGCAGCAGCUCUCCGGCUCUUUAGAGUCCUUUUGAGCCAAGCUGGACGUGAGGCAUAAAGGAGCUCUUUGCAAACGCCAGGAGGAAUUUCUUCAGGGUGAAGUUAACUUUCAAUCGGCUUCAUUCUAAGAGAAAUAUGUGAAGCAAACAAACGGGAACUUUUUUUCUCAUCUUUUGCAUUUCAAGCAAAAACUAAUAAAAUUAGAUGUUUCCACCGUCAUGCUCAGUCUCGAAGCUGCCAGCAGAUCCCGCUUCUAACUUUUAACACAGGCACGCAGGAAAUCGGGAAAUCCCUGCAGUUCCCUCAGAAGCUACAGUAUCAGCAGUUCCUGAAGCGCAAACCAAAACCCAACAUCAUGUACCCCUCCAAAGAGCUCAGCCGGUCUGUUGAGGGACGGAAACAGCGGCGAGGUGCUCUGGAAGCCGUGACAGCCUGGCCGAAAUGAACCAGGUCCCUCCUGGUCGAGCCUACCUCCCUAGGGACAAGAAACGUACCUCUCUUCCCUCAUAUCCAGAGGAAGCAAUGGAGGGAUGUGGCGCUUAGACUCACUCUACUAUCCAGUCCAUCGAAGUCCUAAUAAUCUUCAGGAUGCGACAGAGUGAGACUCCGUCUCAACAAAACAAAACAAAACAACCCUAAGGAAAAGAGAGAAUGUACUGGAGGAUAGGAAGUAUCUAGGAGAACCUUCUUUUUUUUUUUUCUUAUAUUUAAAUUUAAGCCUUCAUUUAUAUAAAAUAAAACGCAUGAAACCU